rnacentral:rRNA from 1 species
GACGAACGCUGGCGGCGUGCUUAACACAUGCAAGUCGAACGGAAAGGCCCUGCUUUUGUGGGGUGCUCGAGUGGCGAACGGGUGAGUAACACGAGAGUAACCUGCCCUUGACUUUGGGAUAACUUCAGGAAACUGGGGAUAAUACCGGAUCGGAGCUCCUGCUGCAUGGUGGGGGUUGGAAAGUUUCGGCGGGUGGGAAUGGGCGCGCGGGUUAUCAGCUUGUUGGUGGGGUAGUGGCUUACCAAGGGUUGGAUGGGUAGCCGGCCUGAGAGGGUGACCGGCGACACAGGGACUGAGAGACGGCCCAGACUCUUAUGGGAGGGAGCGGUGGGGAAAAUAUUGCAAAGGGGGGAAGACUGUGGUAGAGAGGCGGCGUGCGGGAGAUCGACCUUUGGGUGUUAAACCGCUUUGGCGCAGGACGAUGCGUGAGUGACGGUACUGUGUAAGGAAGCACCGGCUAACUACGUG